UACGUUAUUACAGUACUUUGACCAAAUAAUCAAUGUUUAACAAUUUCCAAAACACCUUGAACAACCUUGCCGCAAAUCCUUCAACCUUCUUCUCUACUUGGCCUAAACGCCUGAUUUUGAAAGAUAGAUUCUUAAAGCGUAAGUCUAAAAGACUUAGUGAGGUUUUAUGAAAACAUUUCGCAAUACUUUUUCAUAAUCAUUUCACAAAAAUAAUAUCAAAUCAUUUAAACAUAUAGACAAAUCAUUUCAUUUCGCAUAAACUUUUCUUUAUGGUUAACAAAUCAUUUCAUUUUGCCAAGGAUUCUGUAUCAUUCUCUACGCUUGGUCUUCUUACCUCGCGUUUAGACUACUGUAUCAACAACUUUCGAAAACAUACAGAUUCUUCCUUAUUGGUCAGGCUGCUAAGCUUUAUACGCUCAUCUCAACGCAUAAGUCAACUUCUUAUCACCAUGUAGCCCAUACACCUCAUGGUGGCCUUGACUCUUUAUGUGCACAUAAAAGUUAGCAUCAUCUCAAAGAAACAACUAAUGGUUUAAAAAUCAUUUUAUAAUAUUAAAAUCAUAAUCAUCAAAUCGAGCUUUAACAUUAUAAAUCAUGCUUGAGAACAAAAUUUUUCAUAGAAAUUUCUUUGAAGCAUUCUCAUUUGAAUUCUUCUUUCAAAUCAGUAAAGAGAAAUCAUAAUAAAGAUUUUAACAUAAAUUCAUUUGAGAGAAAAGAACUUACCAAAAUUUACUAAAUAAGUCUUUCUUCUUCUUCUCGCAAGCAUCUUCUUUCAUGGCUAAACCAGCAGCACUUCAACAUUUCAAAAAAAGUCUCAUCAUCCCCCCCUUAGUUACCCAAAUCCUCUUAUUUAUAGAGCCCUUAAACUAACUUAGUCAUGAAUAAAUCCUUCUCAGUUCGCUAGCUCUUGCUUAAAACUUUACAUGUGAAUUUAAUAUUCAACCUAGCCAUCCUUAAAUCCUUAAUGUUACACGUUAACCCUUCUGAAAUCAGAUUGGACAUUUUCUUUGCCAUAUUUUGCUUCUGCCCUAUCCUAAACUACAAAUAAUUUCAAUUACUUAACAUUUUUCAUGAAUAUCCUUAUCGCAUGGUUAUAUUUUUACUAUAAGAAACCUUUCAUGCGAACUAACCAACUUUUACUCGCAUAGAACUCUUAUCGCAAACUUAAACUUGAAGGCUUCUUCGCAGACUUCUCUAUAAAACACUUGAUUCUUCUCGUGAAGACCACCCAAAAUGCCUAGUCUAGCACUGUCAAAACUUUCAUUUCUUAACUUACUCGAAGACUUUUUCUCUUCUUAUCGAACAACUUCUUUCAUGAACUACCCACUUAAUCACAAAAACGUAUACUUAACCAUAAAAUAUUUUAUCGCUUAAUCUUUUUCGCAGAUUUAUUCAACUGCCAACUUCUUAAUACUUAGCUGAAUUUUACUUCCUUACUCAAAUUAGAAAUGGGUCUCACAUGGAUACAUUAGAUGAGAAUGAAGUUCAUGUUGGUGAAGUUCAUGCUGACUUGUGUGAUAACAUAGGGACCACUUUGGCUUUAUGAUAAGCAUAUGAGUCAUGUGAUUUAAAAGAUGUUACUUUUACAUGGGAACCAAUUGAGAUGAACAAUGAAUCGUUUGAUAUCCCAUAACAAAGUUAUGUUCUUACAAAAGAUUGCAAAGGAAAAGCUAAAGUUCACUAUGACUCCACUAGCUAAAAGUUGAAGGCAAAAUUAAGUGAUUCGUCUGAAGAAAGCUCUACAAGUGAGGAGUUGGAUGUAUGACAAAUAUUCUUUUUGUAGUAAAAUAGUCUACAAAAGAUGUUCUUUUUGUUAGAUGCAUUAAUAACAAGUGUGGUUUGGAGAUUGCAAACAGCAAGAUUAAAGGAUUCAAAUAUAGACAAGCAAAAUAUUGGGUUGUUAGAGAAAUAAUAAAGUCCAAAUUCAUGGGAGUUCGUCGCCUAUAUAAACCACAUGAUAUAAUAGAAGACGUGAGGUAAAACUAUGGCAUAAAUACUGAUAGAACUAAGUCAUGCACAGCGGAAAAAGAAUCGAAUUUCUACCCUAAUUGCCACAAUUAACAUGUAACCAUAAACUAAUCAAAUUAGGGUUUUAGGAAAUAUUACCUUUGAAGCUUUCAAAAGGUUUGAUAUCUUCUUACCAAUUCUAACCGAGACCACCACUAGUACUCAACUGCUAUCCUCUAGACAAAGAACCGGGUUGUGGGACCCAAUUUUGGUGUAGAAAGUAAUGGAGAUAAAAUGGGAUUGGAAGGUUUCUUUUUUUUUCUUUUGUUGAGAUGAUGAAAAUGAUAAAAGAGGCAAAAGUCCUUCAACAUUUGAAAACACCUCUAUUUAUAACCUAAUUACAUGCAAAAAUGCAUGCAAUUCAUUUGCCAAAUCUCAACACCUAAUGUUCCACUAACAAUUAGUGGAACUUAGUGGGCUAGGUGUCUAUAUCUCAUAUAGCC
rnacentral:lncRNA from 1 species